AUGCUUACCACCGGAGCCAGCAUGGCCCAGACAGUCACUCAGCCUCAGCAGGAAAAGUUCGUGCAGGAGACAGAGUCGGCAACCCUGGACUGCACAUACGACACGAGUGAUACUAAUUAUAACUUGUUCUGGUACAGACAGCAAAGAGGGCAGAUGACUCUCAUUAUUCGCCAAGAAGCUUAUAAGCAGCAGAACGCAACGGAGAACCGCUUCUCCGUGAAUUUCCAGAAAGCAGCGAAGUCCUUCAGCCUCGAGAUCUCAGACUUGCAGCUAGAGGAUGCUGCGAUGUAUUUCUGUGCACUCAUGGAGAGGGGCACAGUGACACAGGCAACACAGAGGGGCUAA